CACCUCUAUCGUCGACGGGCUCAAGACCAGCCUGGCGCGACGGCUCUCCGUGUUCGGCGCCACCGUGCAAGACCAGAAAGAUCAUGAUGAGGAGGUGGGCGGGCGGCGCGACUCUGUCUUCCUGCGGCCGACAUCACCGCAGAGCGACGCCCAGCUGUUGCGACACGCCAUUCGAGACAACCCCUUCAACAAGCUACACUUCCGCUACA